AGGACGAACGCUGGCGGCGUGCUUAACACAUGCAAGUCGAGCGAGGCCCCACCUUCGGGUGGGUGUCCUAGCGGCGAACGGGUGAGUAACACGUGGGCAACCUGCCCCUAGCACUGGGAUAACUCCGGGAAACCGGGGCUAAUACCGGAUACGACUUCGGAAGGCAUCUUCUGAAGUGGAAAGGGUUACUGGCUAGGGAUGGGCCCGCGGCCUAUCAGCUUGUUGGUGGGUAACGCUACAAGGCUCCGACGGGUA
rnacentral:rRNA from 1 species